UACGGAGGAUGCGAGCGUUAUCCGGAUUUAUUGGGUUUAAAGGGUGCGUAGGUGGUUAAUUAAGUCAGCGGUGAAAGUUUGUGGCUCAACCAUAAAAUUGCCGUUGAAACUGGUUGACUUGAGUGCAGUAGAGGUGGGCGGAAUUCGUGGUGUAGCGGUGAAAUGCUUAGAUAUCACGAAGAACUCCGAUUGCGAAGGCAGCUUACUAAACUAUAACUGACACUGAAGCACGAAAGCGUGGGGAUCAA
rnacentral:rRNA from 1 species